GGGGUUGUGGCUCAGCGGUACAGCGCUCGCCUCGAAUGUGCGAGACCCUGGGUUGGAUCCUCAGCACCACA
rnacentral:tRNA from 1 species